GAAGGCCCUUUGGGUUGUAAACUGCUUUUGCAGGGGAGAAAUAACCGAAUGGGAUGAUAGUACCCUACGAAUAAGUCCCGGCUAACUACGUGCCAGCAGCCGCGGUAAAACGUAAGGGGCGAACGUUGCUCGGAAUUACUGGGCGUAAAGGGCCGGUAGGUGGCUUUAUAAGUCAGUUGUCAAAUACCCAUGCUCAACGUGGGAGAGGCGACUGAUACUGUAGAGCUUGAGUAGAGGAGGGGAUGACGGAAUACCCGGUGUAGGGGUGAAAUCUGUUGAUAUCGGGUAGAACACCGAUGGCGAAAGCGGUCAUCUAGCCUCAUACUGACACUCAACGGCGAAAGCCAGGGGAGCGAACGGGAUUAGAUACCCCGGUAGUCCUGGCCAUAAACGAUGCAUGCUAGGUAUUGGCACCGCGUUGGUGAUAGUACCGUAGCUUACGCGUUAAGCAUGCCGCCUAGGGAGUAUGCUCGCAAGAGUGAAACUCAAAGGAAUUGACGG
rnacentral:rRNA from 1 species